rnacentral:rRNA from 1 species
GCCGGAAGACCAAGGGUUCCUGUCCAACGUUAAUCGGGGCAGGGUGAGUCGACCCCUAAGGCGAGGCCGAAAGGCGUAGUCGAUGGGAAACGGGUUAAUAUUCCCGUACUUGGUGUUACUGCGAAGGGGGGACGGAGAAGGCUAUGUUGGCCGGGCGACGGUUGUCCCGGUUUAAGCGUGUAGGUGUGUGUUCCAGGUAAAUCCGGUUCACUUUAACACUGAGGCGUGAUGACGAGGCACUACGGUGCUGAAGUAACAAAUGCCCUGCUUCCAGGAAAAGCCUCUAAGCAUCAGGUAACAUCAAAUCGUACCCCAAACCGACACAGGUGGUCAGGUAGAGAAUACCAAGGCGCUUGAGAGAACUCGGGUGAAGGAACUAGGCAAAAUGGUGCCGUAACUUCGGGAGAAGGCACGCUGACACGUAGGUGAAGUGAUUUACUCACGGAGCUGAAGUCAGUCGAAGAUACCAGCUGGCUGCAACUGUUUAUUAAAAACACAGCACUGUGCAAACACGAAAGUGGACGUAUACGGUGUGACGCCUGCCCGGUGCCGGAAGGUUAAUUGAUGGGGUCAGCGCAAGCGAAGCUCCUGAUCGAAGCCCCGGUAAACGGCGGCCGUAACUAUAACGGUCCUAAGGUAGCGAAAUUCCUUGUCGGGUAAGUUCCGACCUGCACGAAUGGCGUAAUGAUGGCCAGGCUGUCUCCACCCGAGACUCAGUGAAAUUGAACUCGCUGUGAAGAUGCAGUGUACCCGCGGCAAGACGGAAAGACCCCGUGAACCUUUACUAUAGCUUGACACUGAACAUUGAGCCUUGAUGUGUAGGAUAGGUGGGAGGCUUUGAAGUGUGGACGCCAGUCUGCAUGGAGCCGACCUUGAAAUACCACCCUUUAAUGUUUGAUGUUCUAACGUGGACCCGUUACCCGGGUUGCGGACAGUGUCUGGUGGGUAGUUUGACUGGGGCGGUCUCCUCCUAAAGAGUAACGGAGGAGCACGAAGGUUGGCUAAUCCUGGUCGGACAUCAGGAGGUUAGUGCAAUGGCAUAAGCCAGCUUGACUGCGAGCGUGACGGCGCGAGCAGGUGCGAAAGCAGGUCAUAGUGAUCCGGUGGUUCUGAAUGGAAGGGCCAUCGCUCAACGGAUAAAAGGUACUCCGGGGAUAACAGGCUGAUACCGCCCAAGAGUUCAUAUCGACGGCGGUGUUUGGCACCUCGAUGUCGGCUCAUCACAUCCUGGGGCUGAAGCAGGUCCCAAGGGUAUGGCUGUUCGCCAUUUAAAGUGGUACGCGAGCUGGGUUUAGAACGUCGUGAGACAGUUCGGUCCCUAUCUGCCGUGGGCGCUGGAGAACUGAGGGGGGCUGCUCCUAGUACGAGAGGACCGGAGUGGACGCAUCACUGGUGUUCGGGUUGUCAUGCCAAUGGCACUGCCCGGUAGCUAAAUGCGGAAGAGAUAAGUGCUGAAAGCAUCUAAGCACGAAACUUGCCCCGAGAUGAGUUCU